CUAGUACAGAGCGCUGUGGGCUUUUAGGAAGUCCCCACAGUUGCCUGGGAAAAAUCAAUACUAUUAUAUGAGUUUUCCUAGUAUCAUCCAGCUGCCUGAGGAGAGAAGACUUGAGAAAAAUCCAUGGCCAAGCAUACCCAGAGUUGGGCUUGAGGGGUAGACCAUAGCCAGCAGGUCAGUGGAUCUCAAGAUGCAGUUUAGGUGUUUGAUCCUGCCUCUGGGCUCUUCCCAGCUGCUCUGCUCACAGCCUCCCCUCACCCCUUCCAGCCUGCCUCCUCAGCUGGAAAUGAUUGAGGGCCUCCUGCAAAGGAGAAAACAAAUCAUCAGAAGGCUGAAGUUGUGUAACAGAUAAAUCUCUUCUGGACCAAGGCCCAUCUCUGGUUUGGCAACCCAACCAAGGUAGCAUCUCUUUUCUCAUCUCCUGGAAAAAAAAAAAAGAAAGCCAACAGAGAAAAAGUAGCCAGAGAACAGAGA